GGUUUUGUGGUGUAGUUGGUUGUCACACCACUCUAACACACUGGUGGUUCUUAGUUCGAGUCUAGGUGAAAUCU
rnacentral:tRNA from 2 species